rnacentral:rRNA from 1 species
GACGAACGCUGGCGGCGUGCCUAAUACAUGCAAGUCGAGCGAGCGGAACCAACAGAUUUACUUCGGUAAUGACGUUGGGAAAGCGAGCGGCGGAUGGGUGAGUAACACGUGGGGAACCUGCCCCUAAGUCUGGGAUACCAUUUGGAAACAGGUGCUAAUACCGGAUAAUAAAGCAGAUCGCAUGAUCAGCUUUUGAAAGGCGGCGUAAGCUGUCGCUAAGGGAUGGCCCCGCGGUGCAUUAGCUAGUUGGUAAGGUAACGGCUUACCAAGGCGACGAUGCAUAGCCGAGUUGAGAGACUGAUCGGCCACAUUGGGACUGAGACACGGCCCAAACUCCUACGGGAGGCAGCAGUAGGGAAUCUUCCACAAUGGACGCAAGUCUGAUGGAGCAACGCCGCGUGAGUGAAGAAGGUUUUCGGAUCGUAAAGCUCUGUUGUUGGUGAAGAAGGAUAGAGGUAGUAACUGGCCUUUAUUUGACGGUAAUCAACCAGAAAGUCACGGCUAAC